GAGAGGAACUUGUUCCUCGAGUCGUUGAUUUCACACUGCCGAGAAAAGCCUCUAGCUAGAAUAACGGUGCCCGUACCGCAAACCGACACAGGUAGUCAAGAUGAGAAUUCUAAGGUGAGCGAGCGAACUCUCGUUAAGGAACUCGGCAAAAUGACCCCGUAACUUCGGGAGAAGGGGUGCUCUUUGAGGUUCACGCUUCGAAGAGCCGCAGUGAAUAGGCCCAAGCGACUGUUUAUCAAAAACACAGGUCUCUGCUAAACCGUAAGGUGACGUAUAGGGGCUGACGCCUGCCCGGUGCUGGAAGGUUAAGAGGAGUGGUUAGCGCAAGCGAAGCUACGAAUCGAAGCCCCAGUAAACGGCGGCCGUAACUAUAACGGUCCUAAGGUAGCGAAAUUCCUUGUCGGGUAAGUUCCGACCCGCACGAAAGGCGUAACGAUUUGGGCACUGUCUCAACGAGAGACUCGGUGAAAUCAUAGUACCGGUGAAGAUGCCGGUUACCCGCGACAGGACGGAAAGACCCCGUGGAGCUUUACUGUAGCCUGAUAUUGAAAUUCGGUACAGUUUGUACAGGAUAGGUAGGAGCCUUAGAAGCGUGAGCGCUAGCUUACGUGGAGGCAUUGGUGGGAUACUACCCUAAUUGUAUUGGAUUUCUAACCC
rnacentral:rRNA from 1 species